AUCUUUCAACGACUUUUUUGAUUUUUAAUUAAAUAAUUUAAGGCUACGGUGGGGUAGGUAAAAAUAACUUGCUCUGCUGCUGUCAAUCCUGUCAUACGCACAUGUCUAUACAUCUCGUUAAUGCGCGUAUGAAUUUACCACGCUGACAAAAAAUAUUAAUAAUAUUAGUUUAAAACGUCACCUUCAUACGAAAUCUACUUCUUUAUACAAAAUGCCAACUCCGGAUAAAAAUUUAAAAAGAAAAAUAAAGAAACGCGAAAAGAAAAAACAGAAUCAAGUGUCACAAAACACAAACAACACACAAGAAAGUCGAACAGGUAACCUCAAAAUCUUUUUCAGAAGUUGUUUUACAAUCAGACUUUUACGUUAAUUACUUCAGCCAAUUGUUGCACAGAAUUGUUAAUACUUGUUUAUUGAUCUACUGCUGUUGUGUUUCUUUUUUAAUUAUUUUUUUUUUUUUUUAGAUACUGCUGUUGAGACAUCUAUAACUGAAGAAACUUCUAAAAAUGAAUCCUUGAAAAGACCAGCUGAAGCCAGUGAGAAUAAUUAUGUUUCCUUACCAAAAA